rnacentral:SRP_RNA from 1 species
GCUGGGCAUGGUGGUUCACGCCUGUAAUCCCAGCACUUUGGGAGGCUGAGACGGGUGGAUCACCUGAGGUCAGGAGUUCAAGACCAGCCUGGCCAACAUGGUGAAACCCCGUCUCUA